rnacentral:lncRNA from 1 species
UUCCGCGGGUCCCGCCCUCCGCCGCCCCGCUGGCCUGCCGGGGGCGAGCCUGGGACGCGCAUGCGCGGAGGGGCAGGCGCUGUCCCGCCUCCGGGCCAAGUCUUCAGGCGUUUCUAGCUGUGCUGGGAGCUUGGUUUUGCUAAGAAUGAACUACCUUUUCUGCAUUGUUGAUAACUUUCAAGAGGCAGGUGAGAAGAGUGCAGUACUAUGCUAGGAGAAGCCACGUGGAGAUAUGCCAGCCAGUCUAUAUGCCCAUUGUUGGUGCACCCGCUUUUGGUAACUUCAAUGUCUAAACUAAGAAAACAAGUCAACAAAAUAAAAGCAAAGGUAAAAAACAACUCCUUUUUUGCAGAGUUUCAACAUCUAUUGGGAUCUAAAGGUAGAAAUGGCAAGGUCAGAGUUUAGCUCACUGUCCCAUUAUGUGUUUAGAAGUUCUUUAGGGCACGCUUGUUGGCUUUAAAAUAAUGAUUGAAAGAUUAGCUACUUAGAGUAGUAUAUUUGGUAUUUUCAAAUGAUUACAGUUAAAUGAAAUCACAUUAUUAGUUCAGACAAUACACAGUUAGGCAUUGUUGUUUUCCUCAUUCUUGAUCAUCACAUUGUAUGGUCUCUAUUGGUUGGUUUUUAUCUGUUGCGUUGCUCAAAGGGACAGAGAAACACCUAUGCAUAAAGGAUACAUGCACAUUGAACAAAAUGUCUCAGUGUUAGGCAACUUUUAAAAAUUUUAUAAAUUACCAAAGUGAGUUCCUUUAUACAUUCCCCU